UAUAGAGGUCUCAAGCGUUGUUCGGAUUCAUUGGGCGUAAAGGGUGCGUAGGCGGCGCGGUAAGUCGGGUGUGAAAUCUCGGAGCUUAACUCCGAAGCUGCAUUCGAUACUGCCGUGCUUGAGGACUGGAGAGGAGACUGGAAUUUACGGUGUAGCGGUGAAAUGCGUAGAUAUCGUAAGGAAGACCAGUGGCGAAGGCGGGUCUCUGGACAGUUCCUGACGCUGAGGCACGAAGGUCAGGGGAGCAAACGGG
rnacentral:rRNA from 1 species